rnacentral:rRNA from 1 species
UACGGAGGGGGCGAGCGUUAUUCGGAAUUAUUGGGCGUAAAGGGCGCGUAGGCGGCUGUACAAGUCAAAGGUGAAAUCCCUCGGCUCAACUGAGGAACUGCCUUUGAAACUGUACGGCUUGAGGCCGGGAGGGGGUAGCGGAAUUCCCAGUGUAGCGGUGAAAUGCGUAGGUACUGGGAGGAACACCAGUGGCGAAGGCGGCUACCUGGACCGGUUCUGACGCUGAGGCGCGAAAGCGUGGGUAGCAAACAGG